rnacentral:lncRNA from 1 species
UCCGGGUGGAGAGGGUGACCUUGUUUUGUCUGUGUCUGCACACAGACUAACUGUGUGUCUCUGCGUUUGUCAUCGCCUCAGAUUUAGCAUCCUGGCAUCUUGUCUGACUCUGUCUGUCUCUUUAAGGGUAACUGGAGAUUCAAACGACUCUCUUUUUCCUCCACUACUGAUUCCUUGCUGCUGGUCUGUGCGGCCGCUCCCGGCCAAACCGGAACAGAGAGGUUAUUCUAACUCCGCGGUGACCAGCGGCUCUUUCGAGGCCUGGCGUUUUCGCAUCCCUUUGAAGAAACCAACUGGUCGUCCUGGUUUCCUGACACUAAACCAAUGACAGAGGACUCUACGCUACAAUUGUCGUGCUUCGCUGCAAUAUCACAUCUCGCUGCGAAGCGGAAUAGGGUCGUUCACUGCCAGAUCACAGUCCACUGAGAUUUGGCUCCUCCCUGAAACAUCACCUCU